rnacentral:rRNA from 1 species
CUCCGGUUGAUCCUGCCGGACCCGACUGCUAUCAGAGUGGGACUAAGCCAUGCGAGUCAACAUAGCAAUAUGUGGCAUACGGCUCAGUAACACGUAGUCAACAUGCCCAGGGGACGUGGAUAACCUCGGGAAACUGAGGAUAAACCGCGAUAGGUCAUCACUUCUGGAAUGGGUAAUGACUUAAAUCUAUAUGGCCCCUGGAUUGGACUGCGGCCGAUCAGGCUGUUGGUGAGGUAAUGGCCCACCAAACCUGUAACCGGUACGGGCUCUGAGAGGAGGAGCCCGGAGAUGGGCACUGAGACAAGGGCCCAGGCCCUAUGGGGCGCAGCAGGCGCGAAACCUCUGCAAUAGGCGAAAGCUUGACAGGGUUACUCUGAGUGAUUUCCGUUAAGGAGAUCUUUUGGCACCUCUAAAAAUGGUGCAGAAUAAGGGGUGGGCAAGUCUGGUGUCAGCCGCCGCGGUAAUACCAGCACCCCGAGUGGUCGGGACGUUUAUUGGGCCUAAAGCAUCCGUAGCCGGUUCUACAAGUCUUCCGUUAAAUCCACCUGCUUAACAGAUGGGCUGCGGAAGAUACUAUAGAGCUAGGAGGCGGGAGAGGCAAGCGGUACUCGAUGGGUAGGGGUAAAAUCCGUUGAUCCAUUGAAGACCACCAGUGGCGAAGGCGGCUUGCCAGAACGCGCUCGACGGUGAGGGAUGAAAGCUGGGGGAGCAAACCGGAUUAGAUACCCGGGUAGUCCCAGCUGUAAACGAUGCAGACUCGGUGAUGAGUUGGCUUAUUGCUAACUCAGUGCCGCAGGGAAGCCGUUAAGUUUGCCGCCUGGGGAGUACGGUCGCAAGACUGAAACUUAAAGGAUUGGCGGGGGAGCA